AGACUUGCUGCGAUUCAACUGACCUCACUGGAAAUAUGUCAUCGGGCCAAUAAAACGCGGGUACUAGGAGCCUUCCUUUAUUCCUUCCGCAUUUCCGUGGCACUAUCCAUGAGCUCUAUAUAAACUGAUCUUGGCCUUCAAACUCGAACACAAGAAUGAAACCAAUCCAAAGCCCACGCAUAAGUUUCUAGUUUAACUCACUCUCCUUCUACUAUCUCACCCGCAAAUGGCACCUCAUGCCAAUCGUCUCGCCGAUAUCGGAAGGGAGGGUUUUGCUCUAGUGGACAGAUUUUAUGGUGAAGGGACAUCGGGUCCAGUACCAAAGAAGCAAUACAAAGGCCCAAAGCAGUAUGCUUCUGUUCCCAGUGACAAGAACGCAAUCGAUAGCAAGAAGGCCGCCGAAAAGUACAAAGGAACUGUGGUCACGAAGUACUACAAGAAGUUUAUUGGCUGGCGUUUCUAGGUUCUAGCACUGUAAACAUGUAAUGGUUCGAGUGACUUCCUAGAAGGUAGAGGUAACCGGAUGAAUAAGUCCUUGUCAUGGUUUUCACGGUUUUCCUCAGUCACUUCGAACUCUAGUACUGUGUUUAUGUAUAUCUUUUGUUUUUCAGCUUUCUGAAGUUUAAUUGUAUGCUUGGACAUGUCUAAGCUUUUAAUUGGACCCAUUUUACACUAUAUUCGACUUUUUAUUCCUCUCUUUGAUAAAAUUUAUGUCAAUCUAUGGUAUACUCGGACACUGACCGGUAUGAAAAGA
rnacentral:lncRNA from 1 species